rnacentral:ncRNA from 2 species
GCCUAGCUUGAGGGCGACGGUUCCUCCCCGGAGGAUCAAAAGGGAACGCGGUGAGGGGCUUUGCCCCGAUGCCGUGGCUGCCCCCGCAACUGUAAGCGGCGAGCCCAUCAUCAACACGUCACUGGACCCGCGAGGAUCUGGGAAGACGAUGAGAGGGCGAUGACCCGCGAGCCAGGAGACCUGCCGUCAGUCGUGGUCACAC